AGACCAGGAAGACAAGGCGCACUGUCAAGAAGCAUGCCACCUCAGGAGACCUAGACUGCAGGAGAAUGUUCCGGAGUCUCCAUCAGCACCACGUCACCAGUCAGAUACUAAGCAUCUCCAGGAGUUGCAGACUUUGAACAAACUUGUUGGACGUCCACCACAAGAGAAGACUGAUGUAGCCGGUGAGAGAGAACUUAUCCAGGCAUUGGUCCGUUCCUGUAGCCCUUACACACAGCAAGCAACCAAUUUUUCUCUUUCUCCUUUUUGACUGAUUCUUUUCACUAGAAGAUCGUCACAAUGCUGUGGACUUUGUGUAACUCCUGUAUAAAUCAUACUAUGAGUUGAGCAGUGUGACACUUAAUAUCUUUGUCAGGUUGGGUGACAUUUUGUAUGAUUUUGUGUCUUGAUUUGCCAGAUUUUGCUGGUGUCUGUUAUAUUGUGUGAAUUGUAAAUUUAUUACACUGUAU